GUGAAAUGAAAUGACUAUGUCGGGACAUGCGUUACGACAGUCUAGUUUCAAGGCCAUAGACGACGGGAUAAUUACACAUGGCGCAUGGAGUGUUACAAACAAACAUACAGGUAUCCUCUUACAAUUGUAGUUAUCAUAAUGUCUUCUAUUAUGUUGACGAGUUUCUAAAGAAGAUAAACCAGAAGGCCAAUUGCGUUCAUGGCAAUUUUUGACAAGAUCC